UACGUAGGUGACAAGCGUUGUCCGGAUUUACUGGGCGUAAAGAGCGCGCAGGCGGUCGAUCAAGUCGAGUGUGAAAGCCCCCGGCUCAACUGGGGAGGGUCAUUCGAUACUGAUCGACUCGAAGGCAGGAGAGGGUAGUGGAAUUCCCGGUGUAGUGGUGAAAUGCGUAGAUAUCAAGAGGAACACCAGUGGCGAAGGCGAGUCCCUGGACAACACCUGACACUGAGGCACGAAAGCUAGGGGAGCAAACCAGG
rnacentral:rRNA from 1 species